GGCUGGACGCGGCGCCGGUGUCUCCGGGUGCGGGAGGGCGCGAAGGGGAAGGCGGGCGGGCGGGCGGGGAGGAAGUUGAGCUGCGCCGAGCUGCGGGGCGCGAUUCGCCUUUCAGCCACGUGGUGAAACCAGCAGCAUUUCAGGAUCGCACUGGCGUGCGUGUGUUCCCUCUUCCUUCCCCUCCACUCCUUACCCCUUCCUCUCCCCUCUUGCUAAUCUCACCCCUCCUUUCACCUCUCCUUCCCGCAGUCUCCCUUCCGACACCAGUCCCCCCCCCCC